rnacentral:rRNA from 1 species
UACGUAGGAGGCAAGCGUUGUCCGGAAUUAUUGGGCGUAAAGAGCUCGUAGGCGGCUUGUCGCGUCGGAUGUGAAAGCCCGGGGCUUAACUCCGGGUCUGCAUUCGAUACGGGCAGGCUAGAGUUCGGUAGGGGAGAUCGGAAUUCCUGGUGUAGCGGUGAAAUGCGCAGAUAUCAGGAGGAACACCGGUGGCGAAGGCGGAUCUCUGGGCCGAUACUGACGCUGAGGAGCGAAAGCGUGGGGAGCGAACAGG